UGGUGGAGUGAUUUGUCUGGUUAAUUCCGUUAACGAACGAGACCUUAUCCUGCUAAAUAGAUGCGGGCAGUUAAAUGUCAGUGUACUUCUUAGAGGGACGUCGUGCGUCUAGCACGAGGAAGUUUGAGGCGAUAACA
rnacentral:rRNA from 1 species